rnacentral:rRNA from 1 species
GAUGAACGCUAGCGGCAGGCUUAAUACAUGCAAGUCGAGGGGCAGCAUGAGUGUAGCAAUACAUUUGAUGGCGACCGGCAAACGGGUGCGGAACACGUACACAACCUUCCUAUAAGUGGGGAAUAGCCCAGAGAAAUUUGGAUUAAUACCCCGUAACAUAAUGAUGUGGCAUCACAUUAUUAUUAUAGCUACGGCGCUUAUUGAUGGGUGUGCGGCUGAUUAGAUAGUUGGCGGGGUAACGGCCCACCAAGUCUACGAUCAGUAGCUGAUGUGAGAGCAUGAUCAGCCACACGGGCACUGAGACACGGGCCCGACUCCUACGGGAGGCAGCAGUAAGGAAUAUUGGUCAAUGGACGCAAGUCUGGACCAGCCAUGCCGCGUGAAGGAUUAAGGUCCUCUGGAUUGUAAACUUCUUUUAUCUGGGACGAAACCCGGCGAUUCUUCGUCAUUUGACGGUACCAGAUGAAUAAGCACCGGCUAACUCCGUGCCAGCCGCCGCGGUAACAC